UGGUUCUGGCAUCGAUGAAGAACGCAGCGAAAUGCGAUAAGUAAUGUGAAUUGCAGAAUUCAGUGAAUCAUCGAAUCUUUGAACGCACCUUGCGCCCUUUGGUAUUCCGAUGGGCAUGCCCGUUCGAGUGUCUUGAAAACCUCACCCCCUCCGGAUUUUGUCGUCCGGUGGAUGUGGGGGCCUGCUGCCGUCGAGGCGGCUCCCCCGAAAUGCAUCGGUCCGGGCCCGUAGCGGCUUUGCCCCUGGCGUUGUAAUGCAACCGCCUCCGUGGGUGCCGUCUCAGAGCCCGACCCCGACCGCCGGUUGUGUCGGCGGCCAACACUUCAACUUCUGACCUCGAAUCGGGUAGGACUACCCGCUGA
rnacentral:misc_RNA from 1 species